ensembl:piRNA 21ur-237 ncRNA
UUGGUUGAUGUUUCGUCUUUA